AGACAUCUUCACAAAGGCGCUGCCAUGUUCCAAGUUUAGUUAUUUAAGAAGCAAGCUUGGGAUGGGAGAAUUUGAAUUAAGAGGGGGUGUUAGGAAUGUGAUUCAAAUCACUAACGGCUAGUAGGAAGUGGUCUUGAUGAGAUUAGUAAUAAAUCUCAUGAUUGCAGGAACUGUUACUAGUUAUCCUCAUUUUGUGGGAUUGUUAUUAAGUGUCGUUCUGUUUUCUAGGAGUUCAGUUAUAUGAGUGUGGCUAUUUAUAGCUUGUUUUGUUAUGUCUGUGUAUGUGGGUCCUUUGAUUUAUUGAAUAAAAAAAAAUCAGUUCACUUUGUUCUUGUGUUGUGUUAUUUCUUUACACCUUCUAGUUUUUUUCAAAAGUUUUUAUUCCAACAUUUUGGUAUCAGAGCC
rnacentral:misc_RNA from 1 species